rnacentral:rRNA from 1 species
AGCAGCCGCGGUAAUUCCAGCUCCAAUAGCGUAUAUUAAAGUUGUUGCAGUUAAAAAGCUCGUAGUUGAAUUUCGGGAUUGGCGCAUCGGUCGUGCCUUACGGGGUAUGAACUGGUGCAGUCAAUUUCUCACCUUCUGGAGAACCGCGAUGUCCUUAAUUGGGUGCCGCGGGGAACCAGGACCUUUACUUUGAAAAAAUUAGAGUGUUUAAAGCAGGCAUUUUUGCUUGAAUACAUUAGCAUGGAAUAAUAAAAUAGGACGGCAUGGUUCUAUUUUGUUGGUUUCUAGGACCACCGUAAUGAUUAAUAGGGAUAGUUGGGGGCAUUAGUAUUCAAUUGUCAGAGGUGAAAUUCUUGGAUUUAUUGAAGACUAACUACUGCGAAAGCAUUUGCCAAGGAUGUUUUCAUUAAUCAGGAACGAAAGUUAGGGGAUCGAAGACGAUCAGAUACCGUCGUAGUCUUAACCAUAAACUAUGCCGACUAGGGAUCGGAUGAUGUUAAUUUUUUAAUGUA